rnacentral:rRNA from 1 species
CAGCCGCCACGGGAAUACAGAGGGUGCGAGCGUUAAUCGGAUUUAAUGGGCGUAAAGCGUGCGUAGGCGGCUUUUUAAGUCGGAUGUGAAAUCCCUGAGCUUAACUUAGGAAUUGCAUUCGAUACUGGGAAGCUAGAGUAUGGGAGAGGAUGGUAGAAUUCCAGGUGUAGCGGUGAAAUGCGUAGAGAUCUGGAGGAAUACCGAUGGCGAAGGCAGCCAUCUGGCCUAAUACUGACGCUGAGGUACGAAAGCAUGGGGAGCAAACAGGAUUAGAUACCCCAGUAGUCCCUGUCUCUUAUAC